ensembl:miRNA
CACAUUCAUCGCUGUCGGUGGGUUAGUAAUGCCAUAAACUCGCCGGGCGAUGAAUGACAAC